rnacentral:rRNA from 1 species
GUUUAGAACGUCGUGAGACAGUUCGGUCCCUAUCUGCCGUGGGCGCUGGAGAAUUGAGGGGGGCUGCUCCUAGUACGAGAGGACCGGAGUGGACGCAUCACUGGUGUUCGGGUUGUCAUGCCAAUGGCACUGCCCGGUAGCUAAAUGCGGAAGAGAUAAGUGCUGAAAGCAUCUAAGCACGAAACUUGCCCCGAGAUGAGUUCUCCCUGAGACUAUAAGUCUCCUGAAGGAACGUUGAAGACGACGACGUUGAUAGGCCGGGUGUGUAAGCGCAGCGAUGCGUUGAGCUAACCGGUACUAAUGAACCGUGAGGCUUAACCUUACAACGCCGAAG